GACGAACGCUGGCGGCGUGCCUAAUACAUGCAAGUCGAGCGGAUCUCGAGGGGCUUGCCCCUUGAGAUUAGCGGCGGACGGGUGAGUAACACGUGGGCAACCUGCCUGUAAGACUGGGAUAACUUCGGGAAACCGAGGCUAAUACCGGAUAAUCCUUUUCUUCACAUGAAGGAAAGCUGAAAGACGGCGCAAGCUGUCACUUACAGAUGGGCCCGCGGCGCAUUAGCUAGUUGGUGAGGUAACGGCUCACCAAGGCGACGAUGCGUAGCCGACCUGAGAGGGUGAUCGGCCACACUGGGACUGAGACACGGCCCAGACUCCUACGGGAGGCAGCAGUAGGGAAUCUUCCGCAAUGGACGAAAGUCUGACGGAGCAACGCCGCGUGAGUGAUGAAGGCCUUCGGGUCGUAAAACUCUGUUGUCAGGGAAGAACAAGUACCGGAGUAACUGCCGGUACCUUGACGGUACCUGACCAGAAAGCCACGGCUAACUACGUGCCAGCCGCCGCCGUAAAA
rnacentral:rRNA from 1 species